GUUUUUUCGUGUUGUUGCUUGGAGCUUCACUAGCUAAUAGCUUUAUCACAAAAAAAUUACAAACUACAGCGGUAACAGGAGAGAGUGAUUAAAUGACUUUCACAGCGCAACAAGAACCGAAAAGGGGGAUGCCAGCUAUCCGCUUGAGCAUCGUGGGAUUUAUGCUUUUUAUGAUGGUCCGUCCUGGAUCCAGCAUGGACGUUCUGGGUCCUCAGCAGAUCAAUGCUCUGAACGGAACCAAGGUAAAGAUCACUUGCACCUUCAACUCCUGCUACAAGAUGGAGAGCAGCAAGUUUGUCAUGAACUGGACCUUCCAGGAGACUCGUAAUGACACAGAAGAGAUGUUCAUGGCCUACAACCAUAAGAAAGGAAUGCUGCCGUUGCGAACUGAGCGUUUCGGUGACCGGGUGGUGUUUGCCGGUAACCUGGACAAGAACGAUUUGUCCAUCACGCUGUCCGACGUCCAAAUGGAGGACGAGGGAAUCUACAACUGCUACGUCCGCAACCCUCCAGAUCGUAUCCAAGGAAAGGGAUCCAUCCAGCUGAACGUGGUGACAGAACUUCCACCUCCCCGAGACUCGACUAUCGCCGUCGCGAUUGGGGCAGCGGUGGGCGGGAUCCUGGCGUUGCUCAUCCUGUCGAUGGUAGUGGUGAAGUGUCUGCGCCACCACAGGAAACAGGAACUGGUGUCAGAGGAGCAGAAGAUCGAAGAGGAGGGCAAGCUGGACCCGGAGGGAGGCGCCGAGGAAGGAACCAAACAGUGAUAAUCUGAUUGGUCCUGAAGUCCCAUGCCUCGGCAGAGCUCCGCACCCUUCAUGACACUGAUGAGAUGACUGCCAUGUGAAGCCCCAGCCGCACUGCCGUAGACGCCCAGUCCUCCAUCUUGUUUCUACUGUAUGUGUGAGAGGAGGAAGAUGACAGACUGGUAACCAGGUUCCACCUACAGCCUUCUUCACCAUCUUGUUCUCUCUCUGGGUCUAAUACAAUGGAGAAAGAUAGUGGAUAGUGUGUGUGUGUGUUUGUGUGUAUGUGUGUGUAUGUGUGUGGGGGGGAGUUGUGUGUUUGUGUGUGAAACUAGGUGUGUGGGUUUGUCUAUCUAGUCUUCUCUGGUGACUCAGAUGUUUGAGGUACUUUACAUGAUGGUCUCAUCGCUGCAGCCCAUCCUGCAUUGCUUGCACACACACGUUGUCAUAUUUAAACUAUCAUCACAUAUACUGUCUACUGUUACGGAUGAACUCUAAAUGUAUUUUAUUAUGAAUGAAGACGGAAACAUCCUCGAUCAAGUUAUACCAUGCAUUAGCAUGAUUUACUAUAUCACCUUGCGACGGACCACAGUCUGGCCAGCAUGGAAUCAGGCCUCCGUUGUUUUCAUGAGCUAUGAUGUACCGUACUACCAAAGGAACCGUCUGUAAAGUUCAUUUGUACUGCCAGGAGCGACUUUUUAACCUCACUUCCUGAAACGUCGAAAUCACGCAUCAUGUUUGCCCAAUAAAAGGCAAGGCUAAUUAUCAGCAUAAACCAUACAUAAAUCAAAAUAUAGAAACUGAAAUAUUAUGACAGCCCUAUGUUCACCACAAAGAAAAGUAUUAAAAUCUACUACACAAACUAGUAUUCACCAACAAUAUAGGCUGCAUUUAUCACAAAUACAAGUUAACAUUCAGCACAAAUAAAAGUGCUAAACUUCACCUAAUAUAUAACUAUAACUUAAUAACUUUCACCACAAAAAAGGCUAGCAGUAACUCCAAAAAUAGGCUAACAUUUAUCACAAAUACAGGCUAACAUUAACCUUAAAUACACUGCUUUGGAAUCGUCCUAAUUUAAUUAUGACUAACAAUAUUUGCAAUGUGAACGACAAUGUUUCGUCCAACAAACACUUUGAGCAUGAUCCUACUAGCCUAAUAUAAACGGUGCUUUGAAAAUAACUAGCCUUGUUGGGUAUCACUUGUUGGGUACCACAGUACAUCUGUGCCCAGGAGCUCCUACCUCUGGACAGUCUCUCCUGCUAGGAACAGUCUCUCCCACUAUGAACAGUCCCUCCAGCUGCGGACAGUCUCUCCUGCUAGGGACAGUCUCUCCUGCUAGGGACAGUCUCUCCUACUAGGAACAUUCUCUCCUGCUAUGAAAAGUCUCUCCUGCUAGGAACAGUCUCUCCUCCUAGGAACAGUGUCUCCUGCUAGGAACAGUGUCUCCUGCUAGGAACAGUCUCUCCUCCUAGGAACAGUCUCUCCUGCUAGGAACAGUCUCUCCUCCUAGGAACAGUGUCUCCUGCUAGGAACAGUGUCUCCUGCUAGGAACAGUCUCUCCUCCUAGGAACAGUGUCUCCUGCUA